ACGAACGCUGGCGGCGUGCUUCACCCAUGCAAGUCGAACGGAAAGGCCCCUUUGGGGGUACUCGAGUGGCGAACGGGUGAGUAACACGUGAGUAACCUGCCCUUGACUUCGGGAUAACUUCAGGAAACUGGGGCUAAUACCGGAUAGGAAUCCUUGCUGCAUGGUGGGGGUUGGAAAGCUUCGGCGGUUUUGGAUGGACUCACGGCUUAUCAGCUUGUUGGUGGGGUAGUGGCUUACCAAGGCUUUGACGGGUAGCCGGCCUGAGAGGGCGACCGGCCACAUUGGGACUGAGAUACGGCCCAGACUCCUACGGGAGGCAGCAGUGGGGAAUAUUGCACAAUGGGCGGAAGCCUGAUGCAGCAACGCCGCGUGCGGGAUGACGGCCUUCGGGUUGUAAACCGCUUUCAGCAGGGGCGAAGCUUGUGGUGACGGUACCUGCAGAAGAAGCACCGGCUAACUACGUG
rnacentral:rRNA from 1 species